GUUGGGGUUUUUUUUUUUUUUUUUGCCUUUUUUGUUUGUUUAUUGGCCCUUGACAAUGUUAAGGUUGGAUCAUCAAGGGCAAGGAAAGCUUUUGGAAAGCAGCUACUUUAGUCCCAGCCAGAAAUGACAGAGGCCUGAACUGACAGGCGAAUUAGACACAUUCGAUCAACAGUUCCUGGGUGUGGGUCACGCAGGCCAAGAGGGACACAGGUUGGAAGGGUUAAAGGUGGAUUCAAUGGGGCCUGGGGACAGUUGGAUUUGAGGAAUUAAGGAGAGGAAGGAAAAAAGGCCCACUUCCCCAUGCCCAUGCGAUAGUGACACUGUGAACAAAGACCAGCCAUCCUAGAGGCUGCGGGCUGAGGAGCAGGCUGACAAGAGCGCCUGUGACAUGAUGAGGUUGCAGUGCCUGCGGUCAUCUGGGUGGAGAGAUCGUCUUUUCCUCUGUGUUCUCCUUCCUUCCAGUAAUAUCUGUCACCCUUUUGUCAAUGCCAUCCUUGGAGGGAUUCAGAAGGGGCAUUGGGUGUUCAGAGUGAAGGGACUCCGUUCUCUGGCUUGAUGUGGAUGCUGAGGGCUGGUCCCAGGACCCUCCUAGUGUGAUGAGCGUCAUGGCCUCUUCUGGCCCCACUGUUUGCUCCUCUUGCCCCUGAGAAGCCCUGCAUCCACACUGGCCAGCUCUGAGAGGCCAACAGAACCAGAGGGUGGUGAAGGAGACCCACAGUGCAGGGAGGACGGCACAGAGGUCACCAGACGGGGCUGCAGCAGAUGGCCACAGAGGCACCCGAUGUGGGCUUUUUUAAAAACAUGACUUGUUCCAAGGAUGUGGCUUUCUACCCUCAGCAGGUAGGGCAUGGGAGCAGCUGAUAGGCUGUGUCAUUGUGUAUGCAUGAGCUCCACGGAGAUGUGCUUUGUGUUCUGUGGAAACACACCCUGCUCUAGCUUCUGCAUUAGUCCUGCUCCUCAAAAGGGAGACAGAACUCCUCCUGAGGAAGCCUGCAGUGCCACUGGGCAGGGACAGAGGAAAGAGCUCAGGAAGGGACAGAACUGAAAUAAUCGGUGCCACCCUGAAACUCGCUUGUGGAUGGCAGACAGAAGAAUGGGGGCUCAUAGCCCAACUCUAAUCUCCAAAAGAAGAAUGAGCCCAUCUGACAUAUUCUGUGAGCACGCAGCUGAGGGGACUCUUCACCAAAACCUCGACAAACAUUUGAAUGCAUUUUUUUUUUUUUGGAAAGGGAGGUAACGUCCAGUGGGUCUGUUUUAUAAUGCAUUUGUGUAAGGGGAACGAAGGAGGAAAUGGGAUUUAAAAAUAAAACUGUUUACUUCA